GACGAACGCUGGCGGCGUGCUUAACACAUGCAAGUCGAACGGAAAGGCCCUGCUUUUGUGGGGUGCUCGAGUGGCGAACGGGUGAGUAACACGUGAGUAACCUGCCCUUGACUUUGGGAUAACUUCAGGAAACUGGGGCUAAUACCGGAUAGGAGCUCCUGCUGCAUGGUGGGGGAUGGAAAGUUUCGGCGGUUGGGGAUGGACUCGCGGCUUAUCAGCUUGUUGGUGGGGUAGUGGCUUACCAAGGCUUUGACGGGUAGCCGGCCUGAGAGGGUGACCGGCCACAUUGGGACUGAGAUGCGGCCCAGACUCCUACGGGAGGCAGCAGUGGGGAAUAUUGCACAAUGGGCGGAAGCCUGAUGCAGCAACGCCGCGUGCGGGAUGACGGCCUUCGGGUUGUAAACCGCUUUCGCCUGUGACGAAGCGUGAGUGACGGUAAUGGGUAAAGAAGCACCGGCUAACUACGUG
rnacentral:rRNA from 1 species